GCAUAGCCCAGAAGGGAAAGGCUGCAACCCUUAUAGACCAUCUGCUUUGCAUGCAGAAGGUCCCAGGUUCAAUCCCUGGCAUCUCCA